rnacentral:lncRNA from 1 species
AGGUGUCACACUUGGGACACUAGGCACUCAAGCUUCAUGAAGACAAGCUACAUCAAACAAAGGUAUGUAUUCCAUCCAUUUGAUUACCCAAGUAUCAAUUAUUGUAUGCUAGAUAGGGUAAUACCUUGGAAUAUUCAUAUUUGUAUGUAUAAUAGAGAAAACAUAGAUCCAAGGUAUUUAGGGUUGCACGUACACUUAGGAGUGUUAGAAUGCUCAAAACCCAACAGUGGUAUCAGAGCCAUGGGUUGUUUUCUGUUAUAUUCAUGCAAAUGUUUGAUUUUCAAAGUUGAAAGAAAAAAAGGAAAAAAAACAUGAAGUUUGUCAAAUUUUAAGAUAAUUGCUUGUUUUGUGAAAAACUAAUUAUUUGUAAAAUUUUAUUCAGUUGCUAUAUGAGUUGAAUUAGGUCAAAUUUAGUAAAAGAUAAAAUGAUAUAAUUAUUUUAUUAGUUUUAAAAGUUUGAUCUAAAUGUUUUAAGUAGUUACAAAUUUUGUCAUAAAAUUUUGGAGCUCAAAAGUUUUUUUUUUAAAGUUGUGAUCUUAAGAGUUUUGAAACCUCCAUAAGUUAUGGAUAUGAAAAGGUUUUAAAAAAAGUUUGAUUCAAAGUUUUUAUGGAGUUACAAAAUUUGGUGUUAAUGUUUUAAAAAGUCCAUAACUUAUUCUUAAGUUAUGGAUCAUGAAAAGUUUCAUCAUAAAACAAGCAUUUAACUCCUUAAGUUAUGGAUUACAAAAAGUUUUAUGUUUCCUUGAUUUAUGAGUUAGUUUAGGUUGAUGAAACCAAAAUUGUAUUUUUGUUGAUUUCAAUCCAUAUUAAUCUAAAAGAAGGUCAUAAAAUAUGUUUUUGUAACUUUUCUUCAAGUUAUUUGAAAAGUCAUAUUUAUGAAUCUUAAAAACUCAUAAAAGUGUUGUAGGUUACAUAAAAAUGAAAGUUUUUCCAUUAAAUUGCGUAAUGACUCCAUAACUUGUCUUCAAGUUAUGGAUGUUGAAAAGUCACUUCAUUAAAAAUGUUAUUAAAGAAUAAGGGGUUACAUUAAAAUGAAUAGUCUUCAUUUUUAAUGAACCAUUAAACUCAUAAGUUAUGAAAUGAAAGGUUUUGAAUAGUUUCAAAACUUGCCCUCAAGUUUUGGAAUUUGUAAAGUCUCACACACAUUAAUGCUUUAAUUCCAAACUCUAGAAUUUUAAAAGUUAAAAUUCAAACUUUAUGGACUUUAUUAAAUUAUUAAAGUGUUUAAUUAAAAGAGUUAAUAAUUCCAUAAAGACAUGGUUUAAGUUUAAUUAAAUUAAUAGUAUAGUUUAAUUAAUAGAUUAAACCACCAAGUAUUUUAAAUGUUUAAAAUACACCCUUAUACUAUUAUUAUAAUUUUAAUUAUAUAGAUAUGUAUAAGAUAAAGUCAAUCUUACCAUUAGUAGGCCUCAUUCACGAAGCCGGUCUAUAAGGGGGGUAUAAGGUUACUGCCUAUAAAAUGGCAGUUUAAUGGGUGUCCACUCUCACCCACCGCUUCCUUGACUGGUGGAGGGUCGUUAGCCGAACGGGUAGGAAUGGACUAUAAUUCUCCCUUCAUUAAAAGUAUAAUGAAAAAUACUAAGUAACUAAACACUUAUAAAUUCCCAAUCUUAGUUACUUAGGAAAAUGUUAAAAGGUGCUAGCCCAUAAAAUUACACUUUGUACCUUACCUAGUCGUUAGUGGAGCGUGUGUGGUUAACCGCCACACUAACAAGGACUAGUAAGAGUGGCAAAGGGUGACUUGACUUUAUUAUAGAUCGAUGGAGUGUGUGUGGUUAACCGGCACAUCGAUUAGGUGAUAAAGUUAAGGGUACCAAGUCAAUUUGCAUGGUUAUUCACACCUUGUUUGUGAUCCUCGGCAUCCCGGUCACAAACUUGAGAGGGCACAAUCGAGAUUCAAACAUGCCAUUGAAAGUUCAAUGUAUCUCAAAAGAUCUAGGAGUUUCAAAUCCAAUUAAAACUUAAUAAUAUUUCGUUUUUUCUGGUGGAAAUUGGUAAAUCGUCAUUUACCUACCUUCAACUAUUUUAUAACUUGGAUUACGACAUCCCUCUUCCGGUUAUAAAUAGGUUGUUGGAUCCUAGCCUUAAUAUUUCAUAUUGGGUGUUAUAUUAAGGACUUUAAAUCAACUAACUUGAAUUUCUCCCUCAGACAAUUAUGGUCCUCCCAAAUCUUUAGGAACAAGAUUCCUAAAGAAGAUGAUAUCCUAAUUGGCAAUGAAGGUGAAAGAUCAAUCCCUUUGUUGUGCAUUAGUGGGACUAGAAAUCAUACUUCACUUCCUCCACCUCCUCCAAUAAAUCUCCCUAUCCCACAAGUUACAAGACUUGAUAAGUUCUAAGUCACUCAAUCCUUAUUGGCAAGCAAAGUCUAUAUGUGCUUAUAUCUUAGAGGUUAAGUCACAUAUUGACAAGCCGGGAGAGUUGGGUGUCGAAGUAUCGAGGUAGCUGGCUAUUGACUUGGUUCUUCAGUCACUCCCUGAUGACAGAUCACGUCAUGACCCUUAAUGAUCUCACCUAUUUUCUUGAUGAUGCUGAAUCAGCAAUGAUUUGGAGCAUCGGCAAAGCAAGUUGGAUUGGAAGAUCUUCUUCCCAAACCUAUUUGGACAUUGAAAAUGGUGACAUUGGAAGUCUAGAAAAGGCUUUCUCUUCCCAAUGGAAAAGGAUCGGCCAUAGUCAACUCGGUUGACCAAAUGGUAAAGAGAAAGGCUAAGUCUGAGAUAGUCCCAUGUAUCAUUACCAAAGAGUUCAUAUGUUUCUAUUGCCAAAGGAAGGGGCAUUGGUUGCGAAGCUGCUAAAUUUACCUGAGAGAUCUUAAGGAUGGUAUAGUCAAUAAGUUUGACUCUACUUCAGGUAAAUUCCAUUGUAUAACUCUAUUAAGUUUCUAUUAUGAAAUUAUAAUUGCAUGAUAUGACUGGGUCACAUGUUGAUGUUUUAAGAAUCAAAGAAAAGUGAAGAAACUUAAAGGAAGUACAUGUUGAUUCUGAUCGCGAAGAUGGAUUUCGAUCGCAUGGUUUGGUGAUCAGAAUUUUGAGCUGUUACUUAAAGAGUUGUGACAGAUUGCUUAAGAAUAGAUAACAACAAGGUUUUCAUAUGGAUGGUAAGGAUAAGUUUUUUCCGCAAAGUUUUAAAAUAAAAGGAAAUUUUUGAUUUUAUUUAUUUUAAGUAUCCUUACAAUGGCAUUUAUGAAAAAUUGUUGCAUAUAUGUUUCCAUUGAUAGCAAUUAUGGAAGAUGGAUUUGAUUCUCUCAUUUGUGGUAUUGUCUAAAUUUACCAAAUAAGGAAAGAUUCUCAUCAUCCAAGUUUCAGUUGGAUAGAAACUUGGAAUCAUGCAAGUUGUAUUGUGUGAUGAAUGAGAAUUUUCAUCUUUGGCGAAUUAAGACUAAGACCUUGUUCACAUGUAUGUGUGAGUCAAGUGAAGGACUAAAGGAUUGGGUACACUUGGUUGUGCACUAGUUAGGUCCACCACAAAGGUUGAUAAGAUUAUUUGUUAUGAUUUACUAAAGUUUAGUAAAUAUGAUUAUGCUUACAAGUUUAAGUGUAAUUCUGAAACAUUGGAAAAAGUUUCAAUGUAUGGCAGAAUGAAUAAGAAGAAUCAAAUAAGGCAGAAAGAUAAAAGUUUCUCCAAUCUGAAAAGAUGGGAGAGUACUUGUGUAUCUUGUUUUAUGAUUAUCCUAGUGAUUAUGGAACCAUAUCACAAUUGAUCCUCUAAAGACACCUUGGUGCAUUUGUUUGGCUAAGGAGAGGAAUCAUGAAUUGUUGAAAUGGUUAAAUCAAAAGAUAAACAUACUUUGUUCCAAAAUCAAAUCUUAGAGUCAUACUCCAAGAUUGAGCCUUGAGUGACAUAAUCUUUAAGAAAGCUUAUAACACCUGUCAAAUGUAGAGUAAGAUGUUUCCUAUUCUUGUACAUUUGAGAUUGGUAGGUUGUGAUAUUUUGGAGAAAACAAAGACCAACCAAGACCAAUUGUGUGAAGUGUUUAACUUGAUAAGAAUCCACACUAACUCUUGAAUAUUUGUUUUGUCAAUGAAUGGUUCUUGACAAAAGGAAUCUUAUAUGUCAAGAGGUCACUGGGAGUCUUAAAAGAUGUAGAACUAAUCAAGAGUAUUGUCAAUCACUAUCCCACGACUUGAAGUUUAUAACCUGUCGUGUUGACAUAUUCUGUGCCCAUUCCUGUUAAAGUUGGCUUUCCAUAGGAGUUCUGAGAGUUCUCAACUGGUUGCAUAACAACUUGGAAACAAUGCCAGGCCCUUGUGCUGCCAGGUGGAAAGAAUUUAAAAUUGCACUAGUUUAGUCCAUAUGAGUUUGGAUUUGUCACUAACCUUGUCUUGAGAUUAUGGUUUUGACAAAUUCACAUGGAUAGGAACUUAUACAUCAUAAAAUCUAAGUGUCAUAAGGUUUCUCUUCGAUUCAUGAAAAUGAUGGUGAGGAAACGCUUUCACUAAGAAGAUUUUAAGUAGAUAGCAGUUGUGAUAUUUGCAUUCUCAUAUAGUUAGUGGAGCGUGUGUGGUUAACCGGCACACUAACUAGUGAGAAUUGAAAAAGGUCUAGACAAACAUGUGAGCUAUCUAAGGAAAGGUGUAUGAUUUUGAUAAAGUCUUAUCAAAGCAUCUAGUAUCAGAAAUCUGAACUUUGGUAAGAAAAUCAAUAAAGUAUUGAUUUCUAGAAGUCCAGCUGAUUUAUGGGUACAUGUCAAGGCUAGUGGGAGCAUAAGUGUUAUGCUUGUAAGAUAAUAAUCAUUAUGUUAGUGGGAGCAUGAUUAUUAUGUUAAAAGUUGCAAGUUAGCAAUGUUAAUUAUAGAAAACAAGAGUUUCAAUUCGCUCUGAAAAGUUGUUUUGCUAUAAUUAAGGGAGAGGAUUUUAUACUUCAUUCCAAUUCUACAAGCUUAGAUUGAGAUUUUAAUCAACUUUAGUCAAGGAUAUAUAUGAAUGUUAUGUUGGAAUGGUUCAACAUAAGGAAAUUCUAUAUAUGUUGCGUUCUNGAUUAUGAUUAGUUCGAAUUAUGAAAACAUGGCAAAUUAAAAAUUGUAUAACAUGAAUCGUGUUCCACAUGCUUCCGGUAUAGGUUCAAUUACAUGUGCUAUAAUAUUUAUCCAUUCUAAAUUUUCCUAAUGCUUAGGGCAUUAAGAAGGGAAAAGAUGUUAUAACUGGAUAUGACUAAAAUGAUUAAGCAAUUGUCGAGGACAAUUUGAGGUUUACCAAAUAUUGGUUACCCGUGGACAAUUGGAAGUAUAGAGUAAAGACCAUAUUGACAUUUUUUGAAAAGAGGCAACUCUUGUUCAAAGUGAUGGUCAAAAUGGGAAUAUGGAAUUGUUUCCAUAGGUGGAAGUUAUUCUUCAAAUAUGUGUAAGAUUAAAGAACUUAAUGCAAAGAAGGAUAUUCAAAGAAAUGUACUUUGAAUUUGAGACUUCAUUUCCAUGGAAUUGUUUUCCAUUGGAAUACUUUGUAAUGUCUGUUGCUGAGUCUUGGUGACUUGUGUGCAUAUUCAUUACAAGAGGAUCAUUGCAUAUAAGUUUAGAAUCUAACAGAUUACUGUAAAUGGCAAGAGCUUGAUGUUCUUAUAUUUACAAUAAGUAUUUGGGAUUGUGAAAUGAGAAUCAUUGAAAUUAUGUUCAAUUUGGACUAUUUCACAAAGUAAAGACAAACAUAGUGUGCAUACUUGGAGUAUGGCAUAGCUAUUGUUUAGAAAACAUAAUGUACAUGCUUGGAGCAUGGGACUACUAAUGUUUUAAUUCAAGUAUAAAUUUUAUUAAUCGAAACAUAAAUAAUGAGUAAUCAAUAUGGUGCUUAGAUAAAAGUUGUUUUUAUUUACACCCAAGUGUUGGGGCCAUAUAGGAUUAGUAUUAUUCCUAUGUUUCACUUUGCAUGUUUUGACUUCCAGAAUAACUAGGUCGUUCUUCCUAAAUGACUAAGUUAUUCAAACCAUCCACAAUCGGUCAUAUGUUGGAAGUAGAUAUGAAUCAAGACAUUCAUGGGUUGGCUUGUAGAGGUCCAAGUUGGUGGACAAAGUGGUGCUACAACACUCAUGAGUACUCAUAAGUUCUGAGUAUUGCAUUCAACCCGCGCUCAUUUGAAUCAUUUCAUGGAUUUUAUCAUGAGUGAUCAUGAGACGAUAAUAUCCUAUAUUCUUCAAACCUAGAGAUAUGAGUUGUUACUAUGAGUUGGUUGUACAUUGAUUGCACGAAAACGCAUUUGGUAACUCGAUGUUAUAAAACGUGCCUUUGUGUAUGAUUUAACAAGUAGUAGAACAAGUCAUAUGAGUCGAAGUUUAUCCAUUCCUUUUACCUUCGGGAUAAAAGCGAUAUAUGUGGGCCCCUCGAUGAUUUAAUGAUGACACAUGUGAGUGCUUGGCUAAGCCAUGACUGAUUUGAUUUGUACAAUCAGUCAGCCAUCAUGAAUCGGAAAUCAGGAAACAACAAAUGGACAGAGAGAAUGAUUGAUAAUCCAUGUCUCAAUCCAUAUGCUAUCUAGAAUGGAGGAAUAUAUGAUCCCUUAUCUAAUGGACAAGUCAUUGACAAAGGUCGGAGUUCAUCUACAAGGUCAGAGUUCAACAGAAGAUUUUGAGAGCUACNAUUGAUUGCAUGAAAAUGCAUUUGGUAACUCGGUGUUAUAAAACGUGCUUUUGUGUAUGAUUUAACAAGUAGUAGAACAAGUCAUAUGAGUCGAAGUUUAUCCAUUCCUUUUACCUUCGGGAUAAAAGCGAUAUAUGUGGGCCCCUCGAUGAUUUAAUGAUGACACAUGUGAGUGCUUGGCUAAGCCAUGACUGAUUUGAUUUGUACAAUCAGUCAGCCAUCAUGAAUCGGAAAUCAGGAAACAACAAAUGGACAGAGAGAAUGAUUGAUAAUCCAUGUCUCAAUCCAUAUGCUAUCUAGAAUGGAGGAAUAUAUGAUCCCUUAUCUAAUGGACAAGUCAUUGACAAAGGUCGGAGUUCAUCUACAAGGUCAGAGUUCAACAGAAGAUUUUGAGAGCUACGAUUGCUAGUCGGUUUAUAAAGUCAUACUUGCAAUAAUUGUUUUAGACUUAUCCAAGUGGGAGACUGUUGGAUUAAUGUCUAAGUCCAUAACUAUAAUUGGUAAGACUUGACCUGACCCGACAUGGUCCAUUUGGGUUGCAUGGCAUCGGGACAAUUAGAUAGACAAGAUGAGGAAAAAGGAUACUAGUGAUUUAUAUUAAUAUAUUAUAAGUUCUAAUAUAUUAAUAUAUAAUCAUAUUAUCUAAUUAGUAUUGAUCAAGAAUUAAUUUAUAAUUAAUUAAGUGAUCAAAAGGAACUAAUUAAAUAUGGACUCUUAGAUAUAUUUGUGUGAUGGGCCAAGUUCAUUUAAGUUGGGCUAAGCUUUCAUGGAUAGUCCAUGGAGUGUUUAACCCAUGGAUCAUAAGAAAUGAAAGGUCAUGGGUAUUAGGGUUUAACCCUAAUCUCCACACUAUAUAAAGAGGUCCUUGGUUGAUGAAAUGACACUAGUGUGGGUACACUAAGAGGGCUAGCCGAUUUCACUAGAGAAAAACCAAAGUAUCCUUAUUCUCAAGGUUAUUCCAAGUGUUCAUGGUGAUGUGUGAACCAUUUGAGGUGUCAAACUUGGGGCACUAGGCACUCAAGCUUCAUGAAGACAAGCUACGUCAAACAAAGGUAUGUAUUCCAUCCAUUUGAUUACCCAAGUAUCAAUUAUUGUAUGCUAGAUAGGGUAAUACCUUGGAAUAUUCAUAUUUGUAUGUAUAAUAGAGAAAACAUAGAUCCAAGGUAUUUAGGGUUGCAUGUACACUUAGGAGUGUUAGAAUGCUCAAAACCCAACAUUUAUACCUUUCAUAUUUGAUACUUUUGGAUUUCUUAUGUAACGCCUGAUUCCUGGUACGUAUUUGAAUUCAAGAAACUUCAUGUUUUACUCUGGGUCUCGGC